rfam:Frankia sp. CcI3, complete genome.
UUGCCGGUGAAAGUCCGGUCCGGGUAGCUGCCAGGAGGCCCGGUAGCAGGCUGGCGGCUUCGUCUGGAAACGGGCGGGGUCGAAGCCCAGCGUCAAAGGCCCUGUGAGAGGGGGAGCGAGAGCGCGGUCCGUAGCAUAA